UGAAGAAACAUCAUCUGCAGUACAUGGAUGACUGUAACACAGUUCCUGACAGGGAAACCACAUGGAUUUCUUUCAGCUGGUGCCAUUGCUGCCAUAGUAAUAACCAUAUGUUUCAUAGCUGCUGGUGGAGCUGCUGGAGGGUACUAUAUUUACAAAAAGAAAAAUAAGAAAGAUCCCCCGCCACAUAACACAGAACAAGAAGAAAAUACUUAUGAGAAUAUAUGAGGACAUAAAAUAAACUAAAGAUGAUCAGAAAAUCAACACUUGUUAAGUCUUCACCUGCACCAAGAAAAGAAGAUCCCCCACUGCUGUUUUUUUAUUUAUUAUUAUUCCUCUACAUUUCUUUUUCUUAUAAAUUAGUAAAUCACAAUGCAGUGAUACUUUGAGGCCACUAGGUGGAAGAAGAGCACCACAACUGGAUUACAGCUUUAGCAGCCUUGAUAUAUUAUUACUGUGCCUUAUUAAGUUUCAUGCAUAAUGUGUUGGCAAACAUUUGCCAUUUAGACAUUCAGGCAGAGCAACAGUAGCAUUUCUGCUGCAUUUCUUGCCCAACACUAUCUCUCCGUUUAGCUCUGGUUUGAUCAGAGCUAUCAGCUCUUUCUCUAUUAGCUCUUAAACCUGGAAUAACUCAUAAUUAGCAACUUGGGGACAAUGGAAAUAAGUUGUAAAUACAGAACUGAUAUAUCUUUUUAAGUGGAUCUGGCAAAAUUAUCACUCAUUUGAAGUAUAUAUACCUGGCAAAAAAAAGACCAGUAUGCACUUUCCAUUGGGUCUCCACCUACUCGAAGGGGAAAUAUUUCCCUCUGCAGCUAAAUGCUCUACUAUGUCCACCAGAUGGUUGUCCUUUCCCAUAACCCUAACAUUUCCCUUAAAACAGCCGAAAACAAGGUUGAUGAGAGAGAGCACUGAGUGUGAAUCAAAACAGUGCAGUUGCAGGCUGUAAAACCAAUGAUGGAAUGAACUGACAAAUGCUACAAAGCUCUCUAGUUGAGGAGAACUACAGCGUCUGAUGAUAAUUCAGUGUUGACCUCUUUCACAGAGAAGUAGUCAUGUGAUCCAUUUUAAAUGUUAAGCUUGGUAUUUCACCAUGUUCAUCAAAUGACUUGUAUGUUUUUCCUAAUUUGUACACCUAUGCAUACUUAACAAUUUAUACAUACAGUGCAUAUCUAAUGCUUGUUCUUAUCUGUGUGACCACAACUUUGUAAAUACACACCAGGUUUGGAAAAGACACAAUUCAAUUUUUAACAAUAUUUUUGUCUUUAAUAUUUAAUGCUUAUAUGUCAGCUAAUAAUAUUUGCUGUAUUUGUUGGUAACAUAAUUGAAUAUGUACCAGUCUUUCAAAUAUGUGGAAACUGUGGAACUGUGAAAAUGAAAGUGUCAGAUGUUUUUAAAUUAAUAAUUUUUAAAUAAUUUGUUAAUUCAAAAUGUAGCAGACUCAACACCCGAUUUGUCACGUUUGUCCAUUAAGCUUAGAAGAUAAUUAAAUUUGAUCAAAGUUGUAUUCUUGAAUUGACACCUUUGACUUUUCUUCAUGCCAAAAACAAUAUAAACGCCACAGACUUUAGGAUCAGCUUUCCAUGACUUUGCGCCUCCAGCUUUCACUCUUAAUCAAUGGCUAAACUUCAUAGACAACAACUUACCUAUGUCUUUGUCCAAGUAAAUGAAAAUCUUCCUGCAUGUUUUCUUGUAAAAACUGGAUGACAUACAGUAAAUCCUUUGAAUCUACUGAACAAUUUCACUCCAAAAGCUGCAGUAUGCUUCCCCCCUGUGGUGUCAGUGAGGUUGUACUGUCUUGUGGAUAAAGGACAGUGAGCAACGUGGUAUAGAUGUGAUUUACCGAGCAUCCUCCUGGAUAUUUAGUUCCCCCUGAGGCUUGCACAAGGAGGGAGCAGCAGUUCAAGACACAAUCAAAUGUUUUAAUUUGAGUUUAACAAGCAUUUUUAUUAUUUAACAUUUACAGGAGUGCACCAUAAUUUGGUUUAGUUUACAGUAAAUGUUUAAUUGUUAGAUUUGACUUGGACCAAUCUUG